GACGUAGGGCGCGAGCGUUGUCCGGAUUUAUUGGGCGUAAAGAGCUCGUAGGUGGUUUGUCGCGUCGUCCGUGAAAACUCACAGCUUAACUGUGAGCUUGCGGUCGAUACGGGCAGGCUAGAGUUCGGUAGGGGAGACUGGAAUUCCUGGUGUAGCGGCGAAAUGCGCAGAUAUCAGGAGGAACACCGGUGGCGAAGGCGGGUCUCUGGGCCGAUACUGACGCUGAGGAGCGAAAGCGUGGGAGCAAACAGG
rnacentral:rRNA from 1 species